GGGGUUGUAGCUCACCUGGGAGAGCGCUACACUGGCAGUGUAGAGGUAGUCGGUUCGAGCCCGAUCAGCUCCA
rnacentral:tRNA from 1 species